ACCCGGCGUUUCCGGAGAAUUGCAAUCAGUCGGCCGAAGUGAACGGACGUGCCGUCGGCGUGCUCCGCAACCACCGAAACGCCGCGACCUUCACCAGCCGCCCUUGCCCGGGCCUUUUUCGCCGGGAGUUGUAUGUGAAGCGGCCUUCUCACCGUUUCCCACGGAUCGUCGUCUUCUCGCUAACCCGAACGCCGACGAGGCGUUCCGGCAGCGCCUGCGCCGGGGGCACGGGCUCCGGCUCGGA
rnacentral:lncRNA from 1 species